rnacentral:rRNA from 1 species
GUAGUCCACGCUGUAAACGAUGGGUGCUAGCUGUAGGAGGGUUACCCUUCUGUGGCGCAGCUAACGCGUUAAGCACCCCGCCUGGGGAGUACGGUCGCAAGAUUAAAACUCAAAGAAAUUGACGGGGACCCGCACAAGCGGUGGAACAUGUGGUUUAAUUCGAGGCAACGCGAAGAACCUUACCAGGGUUUGACAUGCUCUUUAUAGGAUCCCCAAAAGGAUCCGUCAGUUCGGCUGGAAGAUGCACAGGUGCUGCAUGGCUGUCGUCAGCUCGUGUCGUGAGAUGUUGGGUUAAGUCCCGCAACGAGCGCAACCCUCAUUCUCUGUUGCUAACGCGUUAUGGCGAGAACUCUGAGAAAACUGCCGGUGAUAAGCCGGA